GCUACUUCGGCAGCACAUAUACUGAAAGAUUAGAACGAUACAGAGAAGAUUAGCAUGGCCCCUGUCCAAGAAUGCGACAAGAAUUCCUGAAAGUGUUCCAUAUUAAA
rnacentral:snRNA from 1 species